rnacentral:rRNA from 1 species
CGUUCUGUAAGCCUGCGAAGGUGUGCUGUGAGGCAUGCUGGAGGUAUCAGAAGUGCGAAUGCUGACAUAAGUAACGAUAAAGCGGGUGAAAAGCCCGCUCGCCGGAAGACCAAGGGUUCCUGUCCAACGUUAAUCGGGGCAGGGUGAGUCGACCCCUAAGGCGAGGCCGAAAGGCGUAGUCGAUGGGAAACAGGUUAAUAUUCCUGUACUUGGUGUUACUGCGAAGGGGGGACGGAGAAGGCUAUGUUGGCCGGGCGACGGUUGUCCCGGUUUAAGCGUGUAGGCUGGUUUUCCAGGCAAAUCCGGAAAAUCAAGGCUGAGGCGUGAUGACGAGGCACUACGGUGCUGAAGCAACAAAUGCCCUGCUUCCAGGAAAAGCCUCUAAGCAUCAGGUAACAUCAAAUCGUACCCCAAACCGACACAGGUGGUCAGGUAGAGAAUACCAAGGCGCUUGAGAGAACUCGGGUGAAGGAACUAGGCAAAAUGGUGCCGUAACUUCGGGAGAAGGCACGCUGAUAUGUAGGUGAAGUCCCUCGCGGAUGG